GAUGAAGAACGUAGCGAAAUGCGAUAAGUAAUGUGAAUUGCAGAAUUCAGUGAAUCAUCGAAUCUUUGAACGCACAUUGCGCCCCUUGGUAUUCCGGGGGGCAUGCCUCUUCCAGCGUCAUUUCACCCCUCAAGCUCUGCUUGGUUUUGGGCCGCGCCGGCAACGGCGGGCCUCGAAAAUAGUGGCGACGCCAUCGUGCUCUCAGCGUAGUAAUUCUUCUCGCUGUUGGGUCCCGGUGGUCGUCCGCCAGCAACCCCCAACUUUCUUAAGUUUGACCUGGGAUGAGGUAGGGAUACCUGCUGAACUUAAGCAUAUCAAUAAGCGGAGGA
rnacentral:misc_RNA from 1 species